CUUGAAACAUCAGUUCUUGUCUGAUCACUGAAGUUAAGCAAUGUUGAACAUGAUCAGUAACCAGAUGGGUGACCACUUGGGAAUACCAGGUGCUGUAA